rnacentral:rRNA from 1 species
CGCCGGCUAGGUCCCGGAUAGCAUGCUGAGUGUGAAAUGAUGUGUCGUGGCGCAGACAGCCAGGAGGUUGGCUUAGAAGCAGCCAUUCCUUGAAAGAGUGCGUAACAGCUCACUGGUCGAGUCACGGCGCGCAGACAAUGUAACGGGGCUAAGCAUGCAACCGAAGCCGCGGAUUCAUACCGCAAGGUAUGGAUGGUAGGGGAGCAUUCCACGGACCGACGAAGGUAUACUGUAAGGUAUACUGGAGGGGGUGGAAGAGAGAAUGCAGGUAUAAGUAGACGAAAAGAGGGGUGAGAUUCCCCUCCGCCGAAAGCCUAAGGAUUCCUGGGUAAAGGUCAUCUGCCCAGGGUAAGUCGGCCCCUAAGACGAGGGCGAAAGCCGUAGUCGAUGGGAAACUGGUUCAUAUUCCAGUACCGUUCUUGGUUUUAAGGGAUGACGCGUGAGGUGAAACCCGGCCGGGUGACGGAAGUCCCGGUCGAAGCUUCGAGUUAGAGGCGGCGGAGGAAACGCCGCUUGGCGAGGAGUGACAGCGAGCGGAGCUACGGCGAAGCGAAGCGGGUGUAAUCAAGGCGCCGAGAAAUAAUCCCCUCUAGUUAGGCCAGGAAGACCGUACCGCAAACCGACACAGGUAGGCGGGAUGAGCAAUCUCAGGCGCUCGAGAGAACUCGCGUUAAGGAACUCGGCAAAAUACGCACGUAACUUCGGGAGAAGUGCGGCCGGCCUUUGUUUAGCAAUAGGUAAAGGGUGGCGACACAAAGCAGUCCCAGGCGACUGUUUACCAAAAACACAGGCCUCCGCCAACCAGCAAUGGGACGUAUGGGGGCUGACACCUGCCCGGUGCCGGAAGGUUAAGGGGAGCGGUUAUCCGUAAGGAGAAGCUGUGAACCGAAGCCCCGGUAAACGGCGGCCGUAACUAUAACGGUCCUAAGGUAGCGAAAUUCCUUGUCGGGUAAGUUCCGACCCGCACGAAAGGUGUAACGAUCUGGGAGCUGUCUCAACGCGAGACUCGGUGAAAUUUAAGUACCGGUAAAGAUGCCGGUUACCCGUGGUUAGACGGAAAGACCCCGUGAACCUUCACUGCAACUUACCAUGGGGGCCUGGCCGGGCACGUGUAGGAUAGGUGGGAGGCUAUGAGGCGUGGGCGUUAGCCUGCGCGGAGCCGACGGUGAAAUACCACCCUUGCCCGGUUAGGCUUCUAACCCGCGCCGUGAAUCCGGCGCGGGGACAGUAGUAGGCAGGCAGUUUGACUGGGGCGGUCGCCUCCCAAACAGUAACGGAGGCGCGCGAAGGUCCCCUCGCGCCGGUUGGAAAUCGGCGUAUGAGUGUAAAGGCACAAGGGGGCCUGACUGCGAGACUGACAGGUCGAGCAGGUACGAAAGUAGGUCUUAGUGAUCUGGCGGCAGCGAGUGGAAGCGCCGUCACUUAACGGAUAAAAGGUACUCCGGGGAUAACAGGCUGAUCUUCCCCAAGAGUCCACAUCGACGGGAAGGUUUGGCACCUCGAUGUCGGCUCAUCGCAUCCUGGGGCUGAAGCAGGUCCCAAGGGUUUGGCUGUUCGCCAAUUAAAGCGGUACGUGAGCUGGGUUCAGAACGUCGCGAGACAGUUCGGUCCCUAUCUGCCAUGGGCGCUGGAUGGUUGAGAGGAGCCGUUUUUAGUACGAGAGGACCGAGACGGACGAACCGCUGGUGUACCGGUUGUCCCGCCAGGGGCACGUGCCGGGCAGCUACGUUCGGAAAGGAUAACCGCUGAAAGCAUCUAAGCGGGAAGCCUGCCUUAAGAUUAACCAUCCCUGGGGGUUUAACCCCCCUAAAGGUACCAGGAAGACUACCUGGUUGAUAGGCUGGAGGUCUACGCACGGUAACGUGUUCAGCCGGCCAGUACUAAUCUGCCGUGAGGCUUGACC